UUUCACUUCUCAGUCCAGCGUUUCCCGAGGUUCGCCGGCAAGAAUCCACCCAGCAAUUAUCUCCCUUCUCGCGCGCAUGGGGGGACAUUAACCACGAACGCGCUGGAGAAGAAAGAGUUUAAAACGGAGAGGAGAACGGCUGGGGGACGCUACAAACAAGAGAGCCACAGUCGGGCUCAGGGUGAAGACAGACAGCGCAAUGCCUUGGGCCACAAGAGAAAAGCGAACUCCCAGACGGCAGAUGUUUGCUUGGGGCGGUCACCCUGGCCCCUCGACGCCCCUCCGGCCUAGAGAGGACCGCAACUGAACGCCAGUGAGGUCAAGGCGGUGUCCUGGGAGCCCAAUAUCGGCUUUGAAAAGUGCCAAGUGAGUCUGAACGUGAGCCUCGAGGCCUCGCCUCCAGGGAACGAGGUCCUCGGGUUAGUGGAAGGGGCGCACGCCGCCUGGAUGGCAUUCACAGGCCUGACAUCCCAAUAAGCUAGAACUUCGGCCGACACUAAAGGGUCAAAGGAGGAGUUGCAGGAAGAGGAUGGCGGACUUAGAAAAUUGGUAAUUUAAAAAAAGAAAGAAAAGAAAGAAAGAAAGAAAGAAAGAAAGAAAGAAAGAAAGAAAGAGAAAAGGAAGAAAGAAGAAAGAAAAGAAAAGAAAAG
rnacentral:lncRNA from 10 species